rnacentral:rRNA from 1 species
GAUGAACGCUGGCGGCGUGCCUAAUACAUGCAAGUCGAGCGAAGCGGGGACGGGUGAGUAACACGUGGAUAACAUCCUCUAAGACUGGGGUAACUUCGGGAAACCAGAGCUGAACCGCAUACUUAUAGCUGGAGCCGCGCUGCAUUAGCUAGUUGGUAAGGUAACGGCUUACCAAGGCAACGAUGCAUAGCCGACCUGAGAGGGUGAGCGGCCACACUGGAACGGAGACACGGUCCAGACUCCUACGGGAGGCAGCAGUAGGGAAUCUUGCGCAAUGGGGGAAAGCCUGAUGGAGCAACGCCGCGUGAGUGAUGAAGGUCUUCGGAUCGUAAAACUCUGUUAGUGGGGAAGCGGUACCUAAUCAGAAAGCCACGGCUAACUACGUGCCAGCAGCCGCGGUAAUUU